GUGGAUGUGCCUAGAGUGGUUAUCGGGCAUGACUAGAAAUCAUGUGGGUUCUACCUGCGCAGGUUCGAAUCCUGCCAUUCACG
rnacentral:tRNA from 1 species